AACGAACGCUGGCGGCAUGCCUAACACAUGCAAGUCGAACGAAGCCUUCGGGCUUAGUGGCGCACGGGUGCGUAACGCGUGGGAAUCUGCCCCUUGCUUCGGAAUAACAGUUAGAAAUGACUGCUAAUACCGGAUGAAGUCUUCGGACCAAAGAUUUAUCGGCAAGGGAUGAGCCCGCGUAGGAUUAGGUAGUUGGUGGGGUAAAGGCCUACCAAGCCGACGAUCCUUAGCUGGUCUGAGAGGAUGAUCAGCCACACUGGGACUGAGACACGGCCCAGACUCCUACGGGAGGCAGCAGUGGGGAAUAUUGGACAAUGGACGCAAGUCUGAUCCAGCAAUGCCGCGUGAGUGAUGAAGGCCUUAGGAUUGUAAAGCUCUUUUACCAGGGAUGAUAAUGACAGUACCUGGAGAAUAAGCUCCGGCUAACUCCGUG
rnacentral:rRNA from 1 species